CCCUGGCUGGCUCAGUUGGAAGAGCAUGGGACUCUUGAUCUCAGGGUUGUGAGUUCAAGCCCCACGCGGGGUG
rnacentral:tRNA from 1 species